AUGGAUAUGAGGAUCCUUUCCCCAAAUGAUCGACCAUGAUUAUACUAUGCGCAACUGUAAUCCCAUCGGGAUUCAAAGCCAGAAAUCUGAUCCAU
rfam:Hordeum vulgare subsp. vulgare, WGS project CAJW01000000 data, contig: morex_contig_39398